GCCCGGCGAAAGCCGGAUUAAUACCGCAUACGACCUGAGGGUGAAAGCGGGGGAUCGCAAGACCUCGCGCUAUUGGAGCGGCCGAUGUCGGAUUAGCUAGUUGGUGGGGUAAAGGCUCACCAAGGCAACGAUCCGUAGCUGGUCUGAGAGGACGACCAGCCACACUGGGACUGAGACACGGCCCAGACUCCUACGGGAGGCAGCAGUGGGGAAUUUUGGACAAUGGGCGCAAGCCUGAUCCAGCCAUGCCGCGUGCGGGAAGAAGGCCUUCGGGUUGUAAACCGCUUUUGUCAGGGAAGAAACGCGCUGGGUUAAUACCUUGGCGUAAUGACGGUACCUGAAGAAUAAGC
rnacentral:rRNA from 1 species